CCCUAGCCCCCAUCGUGUUCACUCCAUCCCCUGUUUCCCUUCCCAACCCUUUUUGCCAUGAGAGACCACCAUGACUCCAUGAGAGCUGAGGCGUGAGAGAUAGAGACUAGAGAAUCUGCUUCAGUUUCAGCCACCUCGUCGCCAGCGCGGAUCGGAGACCCGUUCAGCCUCAGGCAGCACGGCACUCACCACCGCAACCACACCAGUGCGCCACUAACCACCACCAAGAAGCAUGUCCACGGUCCAUCGAAGAUUCAAGUCGCCACCUCGUCGCCUACUGCCUUCUGCUCGUCAGUCGUCAGUCAUCACCUCCGGCCUCCCUCUUCUCUGCUCGAGUGCUCGUCCCUCCAUCCCUCCAGGGUCCAGUCCAGAUUAUGUUUAUGACAUGGAGAAAGCCUUAAUUGGUUCUAACUUCUAAGCUUUAUCCUGCGGAUAAGGAGCUAGUAAAUUCUACAAUUGAUAAAGCUAGAACUCUGCUUGAUGAUGGUAACAAGGAGAAGAAAGAAACUGAUGUGCUAGUGGAGUAUCUUACUGAAGCUAAGCUUGUUUUUGAGUCCAUUAUAGCUAAGACUGGUGGAGUCAUUGGCGCCGGCUAACGAGAUAUACGCGAAAGUCUACAGUGCACUUUAGACAACAACUAGAUGACAUUUUAUAUGGCGGCCAUAUAUGAGAACGGUUAUUUCUGACGACCUAUCCGUAAUUUUGGUAGUGUGCUCUAGAAAGUCUCCAUUGUCAUUUGAGUGUAUAGAGUGGCACCCAACAGACUGAGUAAGACGCCAAUUCCGGUUUGAACAACUUCGACAGGAGGAACCAUUUCAUAUUGGUGAUGCUUAUUGUAGGCGUUGACCGGCACACAGAAUUAUGACCGGAGCGACAGGAACAAGGAUUGGGUUAACAUGUGGAUUUUUGACCCCUAUAAUACACUGUAGCUAGGGGACGAAAUUGUUAAUUUCCAUCCUCUUCUAAUGUACUAUAAGUGGUACACGCAGCAGUACAGAAAUUAUCUACGGUUGUCAAAUAGAGUUGCGCAUGCAGAAGCCAGGUGAAUGAACCACAGGCGUAUUUUGAAAUGUGACUUUGUAUGUUCUCACAAAAACCAUUUUAGAACUCUACAAAAUUCACUGUGCAUGGAAUAGUAAAGGAAAAUGGACAUUCACAAAUAAAAGUCACUCCUUUAUGUAUAUUUAGUAUAA